GACGAACGCUGGCGGCGUGCUUAACACAUGCAAGUCGAACGGAAAGGCCCUGCUUUUGUGGGGUGCUCGAGUGGCGAACGGGUGAGUAACACGUGAGUAACCUGCCCUUGACUUUGGGAUAACUUCAGGAAACUGGGGCUAAUACCGGAUAGGAGCUCCUGCUGCAUGGUGGGGGUUGGAAAGUUUCGGCGGUUGGGGAUGGACUCGCGGCUUAUCAGCUUGUUGGUGGGGUAGUGGCUUACCAAGGCUUUGACGGGUAGCCGGCCUGAGAGGGUGACCGGCCACAUUGGGACUGCGAUACGGCGCAGAAUCCUACGGGAGGCAGCAGUGGGGAAUAUUGCACAAUGGGCGGAAGCCUGAUGCAGAAACGCCGCGUGCGGGAUGACGGCCUUCGGGUUGUAAACAGCUUUCGACUGUGCCGAAGAGUGAGUGACGGUAAUGGGUCAAGAAGCAACGGCUAACUACGUG
rnacentral:rRNA from 1 species